AACGCUAGCUACAGGCUUAACACAUGCAAGUCGAGGGGCAGCACGGGAGUAGCAAUACAACUGGUGGCGACCGGCGCACGGGUGAGUAACGCGUAUGCAACCUACCUAUCAGAGGGGAAUAACCCGGCGAAAGUCGGACUAAUACCGCAUAAAACAGGGGCACCGCAUGGUGAUAUUUGUUAAAGAAAUUCGCUGAUAGAUGGGCAUGCGUUCCAUUAGGUAGUUGGUGAGGUAACGGCUCACCAAGCCGACGAUGGAUAGGGGAACUGAGAGGUUGGUCCCCCACACUGGUACUGAGACACGGACCAGACUCCUACGGGAGGCAGCAGUGAGGAAUAUUGGUCAAUGGGCGAGAGCCUGAACCAGCCAAGUCGCGUGAAGGAAGAAGGAUCUAUGGUUCGUAAACUUCUUUUGCAGGGGAAUAAAGUGCAGGACGUGUCCUGUUUUGUAUGUACCCUGAGAAUAAGGAUCGGCUAACUCCGUGCCAGCAGCCGCGGUAAUACGGAGGAUCCGAGCGUUAUCCGGAUUUAUUGGGUUUAAAGGGUGCGUAGGUGGUUUGAUAAGUCAGCGGUGAAAGUUUGCAGCUUAGCUGUAAAAAUGCCGUUGAAACUGUCAGACUUGAGUGUAAAUGAGGUAGGCGGAACGCGUGGUGUAGCGGUGAAAUGCAUAGACAUCACGAAGAACUCCGAUUG
rnacentral:rRNA from 1 species